rnacentral:rRNA from 1 species
AGUGUAGGGCGGGAUCGUAAGUUAGGAGUUUAAUACAUGGGCUUAACCCAUGAGCUGCUUUUAAUACUGCGGUUCUUGAGUAUGGGAGGAGGGCGAUGGAAUUCCAGGUGUAGCGGUGGAAUGCGUAGAUAUCUGGAAGAACACCGGUAGCGAAGGCGGUCGCCUGGCCCAAUACUGACGCUGAAUGCUCGAAAGCUAGGGGAGCAAACAGGAUUAGAUACCCUGGUAGUCCUAGCCGUAAACGAUGGACACUAGUUGCUGGAGGAGUCAAUCCUUUCGGUGACGAAGCUAACGCAUUAAGUGUCCCGCCUGGGGAGUACGUUCGCAAGGAUGAA